rnacentral:misc_RNA from 1 species
UUUCCGUAGGUGAACCUGCGGAAGGAUCAUUAAUGAGAUCAUGCCCUUCGGGGUAGACCUCCCACCCUCUGUAUACAAUACCUUUGUUGCUUUGGCGGCCCCGUCGCAAGACAACCGGCUCCGGCUGGUCAGCGGCCGCCAGAGGAAUCAAAACUCUUAUUAUUAUUGUCGUCUGAGUACUAUAUAAUAGUUAAAACUUUCAACAACGGAUCUCUUGGUUCUGGCAUCGAUGAAGAACGCAGC